CUUGGUCAUUUAGAGGAAGUAAAAGUCGUAACAAGGUUUCCGUAGGUGAACCUGCGGAAGGAUCAUUCACAAACGAGUGUUUUAUGGCACUCUUUAAAAAUCCAUAUCCACCUUGUGUGCAAUGUUUGUUGGGAAAGUCUUUUCUUUCCCUUCAUAAAUAUCAACCUAUAUCUUUAACAACAUUCGUCUGAUAACAUAUUAUGAAUAUACUUAAUUCAAAAUAUAACUUUCAACAACGGAUCUCUUGGCUCUCGCAUCGAUGAAGAACGCAGCGAAAUGCGAUACGUAAUGUGAAUUGCAGAAUUCAGUGAAUCAUCGAAUCUUUGAACGCAUAUUGCGCUCUUUGGUAUUCCGAAGAGCAUGCUUGUUUGAGUAUCAGUAAACACCUCAACCUCUCUUUUUUGAUAAAAAAAAGGGAGGGUGGACUUGAGCUAUCCCAACGACCUUCACCGGUAGGCGGGCGGCUUGAAAUGCAGGUGCAGCUGGACUUUUAUCUGAGCUAAAAGCAUAUCUAUUUAGUCCUCGUCAAACAGGAUUAUUACUUUUGCUGCAGCUAACAUAAAGGAUAAUUGUCCUCUUUGCUGACUGAUGCAGGAUUUUACGACACUUUAUGUGUUGUUCAACUCGAUCUCAAAUCAAGUAAGACUACCCGCUGAACUUAAGCAUAUCAAUAAGCGGAGGAAAAGAAACUAACAAGGAUUCCCCUAGUAACGGCGAGUGAAGCGGGAUGAGCUCAAAUUUGAAAUCUGGCUGGUUUACUAGUCCGAGUUGUAAUUUAAAGAAGCGUUUUCGGUGGCAGCCUGGGUAUAAAUCCUUUGGAAUAGGGUAUCAUAGAGGGUGAGAAUCCCGUCUUUGACCUAGUGCAUGCUACUAUGUGAUACGUUUUCAAAGAGUCGAGUUGUUUGGGAAU
rnacentral:sRNA from 1 species